UUAGUCAAUAUAUGUUCUUAUCA
rnacentral:siRNA from 1 species